UACAGAGGUCUCAAGCGUUGUUCGGAUUCAUUGGGCGUAAAGGGUGUGUAGGUGGCGCGCUAAGUCGGGUGUGAAAUUUCGGAGCUUAACUCCGAAACUGCAUUCGAUACUGGCGUGCUUGAGGACUGGAGAGGAGACUGGAAUUUACGGUGUAGCAGUGAAAUGCGUAGAUAUCGGAAGGAAGACCAGUGGCGAAGGCGGGUCUCUGGACAGUUCCUGACACUGAGACACGAAGGCCAGGGGAGCAAACGGG
rnacentral:rRNA from 1 species